rnacentral:rRNA from 1 species
UAGGGAAUCUUCGGCAAUGGACGAAAGUCUGACCGAGCAACGCCGCGUGAGUGAAGAAGGUUUUCGGAUCGUAAAACUCUGUUGUUAGAGAAGAACAAGGACGUUAGUAACUGAACGUCCCCUGACGGUAUCUAACCAGAAAGCCACGGCUAACUACGUGCCAGCAGCCGCGGUAAUACGUAGGUGGCAAGCGUUGUCCGGAUUUAUUGGGCGUAAAGCGAGCGCAGGCGGUUUUUUAAGUCUGAUGUGAAAGCCCCCGGCUCAACCGGGGAGGGUCAUUGGAAACUGGGAGACUUGGGUGCAGAAGAGGAGGGUGGAAGUCCGUGUGUAGCGGUGAAAUGCGUAAAUAUAUGGAGGAACACCGGUGGCGAAGGCGGCUCUCUGGUCUGUAACUGACACUGCGGCUCAAAAGCGUGGGGAGCAAACAGG